rnacentral:rRNA from 1 species
AACGAACGCUGGCGGCAUGCCUAACACAUGCAAGUCGAACGAGCCCUUCGGGUCUAGUGGCGCACGGGUGCGUAGCGCGUGGGAACCUGCCCUUAGGUUCGGCCUACCUCUCCGACUGGGGUACUAAUACCAGAUAAUGUCUUCGGCCCAAAGAUUUAUCGCCUUUGGUUGGGCCCGCGUUGAAUUAGCUUGUUGUUAGGGUAAUAGACUACCAAGGCGACGAUCCAUAGCUGGUCUGAGAGGAUGAUCAGCCACACUGGGACUGAGACACGGCCCAGACUCCUACGGGAGGCAGCAGUGGUGAAUAGUGGACAAUGGGCGAAAGCCUGAACCAGCAAUGCCGCGUGAGUGAUGAAGGCCGGAGGGUUGUAAAGCUCUUGUACCCGUGAUGAUAAUGACAGUACCGGGAGAAUAAGCCCCGGCUAACUCCGUG